AGCAGGCCUUGAGUUCCUGAGACGCGUUUUGGGCUAGGAGGUGGUUCCCUGGCCCAGGAACAAAACCGUGCGGGCCUGGGGCCCAAAGCGGACAAUAUCUCGGUAGAGCUUGGGAUGUUACAAUAAACAACUUUGAAAUUAUUAAAUAUAUAAAUAAAUAAAAAAAAAAUCCAAAAAUUUGUAAGAAAAGUAAAUAAAAAGUUAAAAAGUUAACAUUUUUAAAA